UACAUGGGGUGCAAACGUUGCUCGGAAUUAUUGGGCGUAAAGCGCACGUAGGCGGUUUGUUAAGUCGGAUGUGAAAUCCCUCGGCUCAACUGAGGAAGUGCACCCGAAACUGGCAGGCUUGAGUACUAAAGAGGGUCGCGGAAUUCCCGGUGUAGAGGUGAAAUUCGUAGAUAUCGGGAGGAAUACCGGUGGCGAAGGCGGCAUCCUGGACCGACAUUGACGCUGAUGAGCGAAAGCUAGGGGAGCAAACGGG
rnacentral:rRNA from 1 species